UGGGCAGUAGCUGAGUGGUAGGGCUCCGCUUCAUGUGCGGGAAGACUUGGGUUCGAUUCCCGGUUGCUUAC
rnacentral:tRNA from 1 species